GGCAGCGCUGUCAGAGGGAAGUCAGCGCUGGGACGGAGGCCGAGGGAGGCGGAUCAGUGAAGACUGGCUCCCUUUCCAGGACUUUCGGGACCCCCCCGUGUGGAGGAGACGCAGCGGGCUGGGUGUGGCCCCCUCCUCCCCGUGGUCCUGCUCCCCUGCGCCCAUCCGGGCUGACACCCUCUCUGGCCAGGCUGUCCCUCGGGUCUCAGAGGCAGAGAGGCAGAAGCAGAGGUCGCUGGGAAUGUGCCCCGUGCGGCCCCGUGGCUGCCCCCCAGGCUCGCCCGCAACCCCCAGUGUCCCCGAGGACUCGGCUCCCG